CACCUACGGGACGCAGCAGUAGGGAAUAUUGCUCAAUGGGGGAAACCCUGAAGCAGCAACGCCGCGUGGAGGAGGAGGGUUUUCGGAUUGUAAACUCCUUUUGUUAGAGAAGAUAAUGACGGUAUCUAACGAAUAAGCACCGGCUAACUCCGUGCCAGCAGCCGCGGUAAUACGGAGGGUGCAAGCGUUACUCGGAAUCACUGGGCGUAAAGAGCGCGUAGGCGGGAUAGCAAGUCAGAUGUGAAAUCCUAUGGCUUAACCAUAGAACUGCAUUUGAAUAUGUUAUUCUGGAGUAUGGGAGUGGG
rnacentral:rRNA from 1 species